rnacentral:rRNA from 1 species
GACGAACGCUGGCGGCGUGCUUAACACAUGCAAGUCGAACGGACCGAGUUGAUAGCUUGCUAUUGAUGAGGUUAGUGGCAAACGGGUGAGUAACGCGUAGGCAACCUGCCCUUCAGAUGGGGACAACACCUCGAAAGGGGUGCUAAUACCGAAUGACGUUUCCUGGUCGCAUGACCUGGAAACCAAAGGCCGGGCAACCGGUCACUGAAGGAUGGGCCUGCGUCUGAUUAGCUAGUUGGUGGGUAACGGCCCACCAAGGCGACGAUCAGUAGCCGGUCUGAGAGGAUGAACGGCCACAUUGGGACUGAGACACGGCCCAAACUCCUACGGGAGGCAGCAGUGGGGAAUAUUGGACAAUGGGGAAACCUGAUCCAGCGACGCCGCGUGAGUGAAGAAGUAUUUCGGUAUGUAAAGCUCUAUCAGCAGGGAAGAUAAUGACGGUACCUGACUAAGAAGCACCGGCUAAAUACGUG